GCCGUGUCGACGCCCAUUCCCGCAGCUGUAUCACGUAUUUCGCAGACAAUUAGCAGAAGACAAAUAUUGUGCAAAUAUUGCUGUCAACUGUCCAUUUCGUAUUACGGACUUACAACAAAAAAGCAGAUCGCGGACCAUCACUAGUGCUGCCUCUGCAGAGCGAUUUGUGAAACUUUAGUGCAUUCUUUUCCAUACAACUAACAACAACUGGCCUAAAGUCGGUAUUACGGAUGCUUUUGUUUGCCACACAACAGCAGAUAUUUAGCAAUUUCGUUUGUCAAAUUUGCGACACCUUUUGUAUCUGGUGCUGAAUUGUUGCUAACUAUCUGCAAGUGUAAAAUUUGUGAAAUUAAGUUAUUUUAACUUGAUUUAGGUAAGUGUAAUUGGUUUAGAUCUUUAUUUGCGUUUGUGUUUUCCAUAGUAUUAACAUUAAAUACCACGCUGGGCAAUUUAAGUACAUUAAUAAUGUUGAGGUUAUAAAGUUUAUUUUUUACAAAAUAAUAUUUCUUCUAGGUAUGUAUGGACAGAGCUCAAAUAAUGGGGCUUUGGAGUCUAAGGAAAUUAGGUGGGAUACAUACGAAUCAGUGCGUUUGCGACGCUGUCUUCGUGAUCAAGCCUGACCCCUUAAUCUAUCGGAAAGUUUGUGUUCAGAACACAUUACAGAAUUUCGAAACAUCAAUAUUUACAAUUGUGCUCUGAAUUAAAGCCGUGAAUAACCUAGAUCAUCAAGACGAACAAGAAUAGAAAGUAAAAUGCAAGGUGUUAACAGCAUUGCCAAAUUUCAUACCAGAAACCUGUGGGAAUGAGCUUUUUGCAUUUUGAGGUAAACUGUAGUAAAUCCAAUGCCAUUAGGGAAGUGGCUAUGGCAUUAAACAAUCUUCCAGUUUUAUUGAAACAUUUAAAGUUUCUGCAAACAGUACAAUGGGUCACAAGUUAUUAUAAAUGGGUUUUACAAUAAAUUUGGCUUUCCUGGGGUUUCGGGGUGUAUAGAUGGCACUCAUUUGCACUUAUCAGAUCUUCUGUAUAUGAAGAAAGGUUUUAGAACCGCAAGCAUUAUCAUUUCAAGAAUGUGCAAAUAAUCUGUGAUAGUGAUCUUAACAUUUUAAGUAUUGAUGCAACAUUUCAUGAUACAUUUGUCUGGCUUAUCACAACUGAAUAUGCCUAUGCAGGACCUGCACCAUAAUAGUGAAAAAGUUUGGUUUUUAGGCAAGUAAAACAUCAUGAGCUCUGUCUCAGUAACUUGACUACAAAAUAAUACUCAAUCUAAAAGUAUAUUUAAAACUGGGAAGGCAGUUAAUAUAUAGUACUAUAGUAAUGUUUAUUGUCAUACCAGGAACACUGUUCACCAUUGUGAGUAUUGAAAGCCAGUUGGAGAUGCUUGUUGGUACAUAGAGUACUGCAUUAUGAUCAUCAUAUGAUGGCCAAGACCAUAAUUGUUAGCUUGUAUUGCAUAACAUGGCAAACACACAUGGGUUUCCAGUGCCCCAACUCUCUGAUGAAGAUGCUGAAAUUGAUGUUUCUUAUCAAAUUCAUAACAUUGUAUUUUUUGGGAGAGAAGAGGAAACACAGCACUUAGCACCAUGUCAACAUUCAAGGGUGGUUCAAUUGGAUUGUGGAGAACAGACAUUAAAUUUAGUCUCAACCUCUGUAUUCUAGUAAUUUUAUGUAGAUAUUUUUAAAACUGCUGUUCUUAAUUAUGUGAACUGAGAGGGCAAGAAUAGCCUAAUUAUUUCUGCCUAUAAUUUUUUAAUUGUGCUUAGUGGAAAUAUACAUAUUUCCUUAACAUUUUUGUGUUUAUAGUAAAGGAUGGAUUCAUAACUAUUUGAAAGCAAAAUUGUGAGGUUGUUUUAUUAAGACAAUGUUUUAAUCUGUCGUGCUCAAUUUGUUCUGUAUCAUUUUAUCUUUAUGUUAACCCCGUUUGUAUGUUGUGUUGUUAUAUAUAUUAUUGUAUAUACUGCUGUUUUAAAUAAUGGAAUAGAAUUAAUAACAAAUCGACUAGUAAUUCAUAAUUCUUCUAGAUUUUGUUGGAUAGUUACAUGAAUAUUACUUACAAAAUGAAAAACAUAAUUCAUAAUUUAGACAAAAUGUUGAUCAACCACCACUGAUUUUUGUUCAUUGUGAUAAUAAUAAUAAUAAUAUAAAUAUAAAUAUUUAACUGGUCCCGUGAUAAGUUCGUAAAGAACUUGUGUUACAGGUACCAGAUAACGGAAAUAAA